CUACGGGGGGCAGCAGUGGGGAAUAUUGCACAAUGGGCGCAAGCCUGAUGCAGCCAUGCCGCGUGUAUGAAGAAGGCCUUCGGGUUGUAAAGUACUUUCAGCGGGGAGGAAGGGAGUAAAGUUAAUACCUUUGCUCAUUGACGUUACCCGCAGAAGAAGCACCGGCUAAAUCCGUGCCAGCAGCCGCGGUAAUACGGACGGUGCAAGCGUUAAUCGGAAUUACUGGGCGUAAAGCGCACGCAGGCGGUUUGUUAAGUCAGAUGUGAAAUCCCCGGGCUCAACCUGGGAACUGCAUCUGAUACUGGCAAGCUUGAGUCUCGUAGAGGGGGGUAGAAUUCCAGGUGUAGCGGUGAAAUGCGUAGAGAUCUGGAGGAAUACCGGUGGCGAAGGCGGCCCCCUGGACGAAGACUGACGCUCAGGUGCGAAAGCGUGGGGAGCAAACAGGAUUAGAUACCCCAGUAGUC
rnacentral:rRNA from 1 species